UACGAAGGGGGCUAGCGUUGCUCGGAAUCACUGGGCGUAAAGGGUGCGUAGGCGGGUCUUUAAGUCAGGGGUGAAAUCCUGGAGCUCAACUCCAGAACUGCCUUUGAUACUGAAGAUCUUGAGUUCGGGAGAGGUGAGUGGAACUGCGAGUGUAGAGGUGAAAUUCGUAGAUAUUCGCAAGAACACCAGUGGCGAAGGCGGCUCACUGGUCCGGUACUGACGCUGGGGUGCGAAAGCGUGGGGAGCAAACAGG
rnacentral:rRNA from 1 species